GAUGAAUUUAAAGCUUAUAAAAAUGGAGCUUGAGCUUGUCGAGGCUGAGAUAUGUCUGGAUGAAGCAAUGGAAGACAUGGAAAUCGAGCUGAAAAAGAAGCAAAAAGAGGAAGCAACCGCAGAAGGGAAGGGCGGAGAUGGAUUAUCUACUGAAGGUCAGGAUGAAGCAGAUUCGGAUGAUGGAGACGAUGAUGGGGAGGAUGAAGCGGCACCCUCAAGUUUUGGCACGGUUGGUCGAACAGAAACGGAGGACACUGUGAAAUCUGAAGGAGGCAAUUUUGGGAAGUCUUCGUUCUCUUCUCUAUCCCUAUCGCUAGCUUCUUGCAGUCCGUCUGUA
rnacentral:misc_RNA from 1 species